rnacentral:rRNA from 1 species
UACGUAGGGUGCGAGCGUUAAUCGGAAUUACUGGGCGUAAAGUGUGCGCAGGCGGUUGAGCAAGUCGAGUGUGAAAGCCCCGGGCUUAACUUGGGAAUUGCGCUCGAAACUACUUGACUGGAGUGUGGCAGAGGAAGGUGGAAUUCCACGUGUAGCGGUGAAAUGCGUAGAGAUGUGGAGGAACACCAAUGGCGAAGGCAGCCUUCCUGGGCCAACCACUGACGCUCAUGCACGAAAGCGUGGGGAGCAAACAGG